GCUAGUAACCGCAGGUCAGCACACUGCGGUGAAUACGUUCCCGGGCCUUGUACACACCGCCCGUCACGUCAUGGAAGCCGAAAACGGUUGAAGUCGCUGAGCUAACCCGCAAGGGAGGCAGGUGCCGAGAUCGGGUUUGGUAACUGGGACGAAGUCGUAACAAGGUAGCUGUACCGGAAGGUGCGGCUGGAUCACCUCCUUU
rnacentral:rRNA from 1 species